rnacentral:pre_miRNA from 1 species
CUCUCGUGGCCGGUGAAAUCAAGCGUGGGUGAGACCUGUUGCAAGCGGGAAGGCGACCCAUACUUGGUUUCAGAGGCUGUGAGAA